rnacentral:rRNA from 1 species
GGCUCAGGACGAACGCUGGCGGCGUGCCUAAUACAUGCAAGUCGAACGCUUCACUUCGGUGAAGAGUGGCGAACGGGUGAGUAAUACAUAAGUAACCUGGCAUCUACAGGGGGAUAACUGAUGGAAACGUCAGCUAAGACCGCAUAGGUGUAGAGAUCGCAUGAACUCUAUAUGAAAAGUGCUACGGGACUGGUAGAUGAUGGACUUAUGGCGCAUUAGCUUGUUGGUAGGGUAACGGCCUACCAAGGCGACGAUGCGUAGCCGACCUGAGAGGGUGACCGGCCACACUGGGACUGAGACACGGCCCAGACUCCUACGGGAGGCAGCAGUAGG